CUGGCUCAGUGGAAGGGAGGAGCAUUCAAUGCACAGGAAACAAACUGAUACCUUGUGAGACACGUCCACGGAGCUGUGGAAGUCGCUGCCACGAGGAGCUGCGGAAAACAAAACUGCAUCUGAGUGACAAAAGCCUUGAACAUCACCCCUCGUACGCUGCAGAUGUUGUGACCUAAGGAGAUCCAUAUGCUGCAAUUCCCACCCAGAACUCCACCGCUGACUAGAAGAUGGGAGGAAACCAGCUUUCUCAAAGCCAUAAAACAAGAAGCUUAGGAGAA